CACGUAGUUAGCCGUGACUUUCUGGCGGGGCACCAUCAGUCAGCACCCAUUUCCUGAUGCUGCCUUUUUUCCCCCCGCAACAGAGCUUUACGACCCGAAGGCCUUCUUCACUCACGCGGCAUCGCUCGUUCAGGCUUGCGCCCAUUGACGAAAAUUCCCUACUGCUGCCUCCCGCAGGAGUCUGGGCCGUGUCUCAGUCCCAAUGUGGCCGUCCGCCCUCUCAGGCCGGCUAUGCAUCAUCGUCUUGGUGGGCCUUUACCCGCCAACCAACUAAUGCACCGCAGGUCCAUCCGCGCCCCAUCCCCCUAAAGGAUGUUUCACAGAAAGAAGAUGCCUCCUUCCUGUACAUCGGGAUUUGUUCUCCGUUUCCAGAGCGUAUUCCCGGUGCGCGGGCAGGUUCCCUACGUGUUACUCACCCGUUCGCCACUAGAGACCCGAAGGUCUCUCGUUCGACUUGCAUGUAUUAGGCAUGCCGCAGCGUUCAGUCCUGACGCCAGGACUCUAAACC
rnacentral:rRNA from 1 species